rnacentral:rRNA from 1 species
CUGCUGCCUUCCGUAGGAGUCUGGGCCGUGUCUCAGUCCCAAUGUGGCCGUCCACCCUCUCAGGCCGGCUACUGAUCGUUGCCUUGGUGGGCCGUUACCCCGCCAACCAGCUAAUCAGACGCGGGCCCAUCCCGCACCACCGGAGUUUUUCACACCGCUUCAUGCGAAGCUGUGCGCUUAUGCGGUAUUAGCAGCCGUUUCCAGCUGUUGUCCCCCAGUGCGGGGCAGGUUGCCCACGCGUUACUCACCCGUCCG